ACGGCGAGUGAAGCGGCAACAGCUCAAAUUUGAAAUCUGGCCCCCCGCGGGCCCGAGUUGUACUUUGGAGAGGACGCUUCUGGCGCGGCGCCGUCCGAGUUCCCUGGAACGGGACGCCGGAGAGGGUGAGAGCCCCGUACGGGCGGCCGCCUAGCCUCUGCGAAGCUCCUUCGACGAGUCGAGUAGUUUGGGAAUGCUGCUCAAAAUGGGAGGUAAAUUUCUUCUAAAGCUAAAUACCGGCCAGAGACCGAUAGCGCACAAGUAGAGUGAUCGAAAGAUGAAAAGCACUUUGAAAAGAGGGUCAAACAGUACGUGAAAUUGUUGAAAGGGAAGCGCCUGUGGCCAGACUUGCGCCCCGCGGACCACCCGGCGCCUCGCGCGCCGGGGCACGCCAGCGGGGCGCAGGCCAGCAUCGGCUCUCUCGGGGGGACAAAGGCCGCGGGAACGUAGCGCCCUCGCGGCGUAUUAUAGCCCGCGGCGCCAUGCCCCCGGGGGGGCCGAGGACCGCGCUCCGGCAAGGAUGCUGGCGUAAUGGCCACCGGCGACCCGUCUUGAAACACGGACCAAGGAGUCAAGCAUUGGGGCGAGUGUCUGGGUGGCAAGCCCGCACGCGGAAUGAAAGUGAACGCAGGUGGGAGCUUCGGCGCACCACCGACCGAUCCUGAUGUCCUCGGAUGGAUUUGAGUAGGAGCCCCGCCGCUUGGACCCGAAAGAUGGUGAACUAUGCCUGUAUAGGGUGAAGCCAGAGGAAACUCUGGUGGAGGCCCGCAGCGGUUCUGACGUGCAAAUCGAUCGUCAA
rnacentral:rRNA from 1 species